rnacentral:rRNA from 1 species
CCUACGGGAGGCAGCAGUGAGGAAUAUUGGACAAUGGGCGCAAGCCUGAUCCAGCCAUGCCGCGUGCAGGAAGACGGUCCUAUGGAUUGUAAACUGCUUUUGUACAGGAAGAAACACUCCCUCGUGAGGGAGCUUGACGGUACUGUAAGAAUAAGGAUCGGCUAACUCCGUGCCAGCAGCCGCGGUAAUACGGAGGAUCCAAGCGUUAUCCGGAAUCAUUGGGUUUAAAGGGUCCGUAGGCGGUUUAAUAAGUCAGUGGUGAAAUCUGGUCGCUCAACGAUCAAACGGCCAUUGAUACUGUUAGACUUGAAUUAUUAGGAAGUAACUAGAAUAUGUAGUGUAGCGGUGAAAUGCUUAGAUAUUACAUGGAAUACCAAUUGCGAAGGCAGGUUACUACUAAUGGAUUGACGCUGAUGGACGAAAGCGUGGGGAGCGAACAGGAUUAGAUACCCUGGUAGUCCACGCCGUAAACGAUGGAUACUAGCUGUUGGGCGCAAGUUCAGUGGCUAAGCGAAAGUGAUAAGUAUCCCACCUGGGGAGUACGUUCGCAAGAUGAAACUCAAAGGAAUUGACGGCGNGAGAGAGACGACGACGACGACGAGGGAGGAGG